rnacentral:rRNA from 1 species
CACGCCUAACACAUGCAAGUCGAACGAAGUAGCAAUACUUAGUGGCAGACGGGUGAGUAACAUGUAGGUAUCUACCCUUUGGCCUGGAAUAACACGAGGAAACUUGUGCUAAUACCGGAUAAGUCUUUACGGAGAAAGCUUUAUGCACCAUUGGAUGAGCCUGCACUUGAUUAGUUUGUUGGUGGGGUAAUGGCCUACCAAGACUGUGAUCAAUAGCUGAUUUGAGAGGAUGAUCAGCCACAUUGGGACUGAGACACGGCCCAAACUCCUACGGGAGGCAGCAGUGGGGAAUCUUGCACAAUGGAGGAAACUCUGAUGCAGCGAUGCCGCGUGAGUGAAAAAGGCCUUUGGGUUGUAAAGCUCUUUCGUCGGGGAAGAAAAUGACUGUACCCCAAUAAGAAGGUCCGGCUAACUUCGUGCCAGCAGCCGCGGUAAUACGAAG